GAUGAACGCUGGCGGCGUGCUUAACACAUGCAAGUCGAACGAGAACGGAUUAUAGCUUGCUAUAAUUGUCAGCUAAGUGGCGCACGGGUGAGUAAUGUAUAGGUAAUAUGCCUUUUACUAAGGAAUAACAAAUGGAAACGUUUGCUGAUACCUUAUACUCCUUAUUAACCUAAGUUAAUAAGGGAAAGAUUUAUUGGUAAGAGAUUAGCCUGUAUUGUAUCAGUUAGUUGGUGAGGUAAUGGCUUACCAAGACUAUGACACAUAACUGGUUUGAGAGGAUGAUCAGUCACACUGGAACUGAGACACGGUCCAGACUCCUACGGGAGGCAGCAGUGGGGAAUAUUGCACAAUGGACGGAAGUCUGAUGCAGCAACGCCGCGUGGAGGAUGACACAUUUCGGUGCGUAAACUCCUUUUAUAUGAGAAGAUAAUGACGGUAUUAUAUGAAUAAGCACCGGCUAACUCCGUGCCAGCAGCCGCAGUAA
rnacentral:rRNA from 1 species